AGGCUUAACACAUGCAAGUCGAGCGCCCCGCAAGGGGAGCGGCAGACGGGUGAGUAACGCGUGGGAAUCUACCUUUUGCUACGGAAUAACGCAGGGAAACUUGUGCUAAUACCGUAUGUGUCCUUCGGGAGAAAGAUUUAUCGGCAAGAGAUGAGCCCGCGUUGGAUUAGCUAGUUGGUGGGGUAAAGGCCUACCAAGGCGACGAUCCAUAGCUGGUCUGAGAGGAUGAUCAGCCACAUUGGGACUGAGACACGGCCCAAACUCCUACGGGAGGCAGCAGUGGGGAAUAUUGGACAAUGGGCGCAAGCCUGAUCCAGCCAUGCCGCGUGAGUGAUGAAGGCCCUAGGGUUGUAAAGCUCUUUCACCGGAGAAGAUAAUGACGGUAUCCGGAGAAGAAGCCCCGGCUAACUUCGUGCCAGCAGCCCGCGGUAAUACGAAGGGGGCUAGCCGUUGUUCGGAAUUACUGGGCGUAAAGCGCACGUA
rnacentral:rRNA from 1 species